ACAUCCAAAGUUCCUAGAAGGAAAUGGAGGAGACAGGAAGGCAGCUUGCCAUCCUCCCAGGGGAAGCCUUCUCACUUUCUCCCUGCCAGCACACACAACCUAUCACAAACUAAAAACUCGACUUCUUCUCUCCGUUAGGGCUCACCUCUGCUGCCCUGGUUGCCUCUCAGCAAGUGGCCGCCCAGGCAUCUGCAUCAGGAAUGUUCCCUGCACAAAGAAGAGAAUAACCAGAUUGGAAGUGUACGUUGUCAUGUGACCGGAUCACGUGAGGAAGCGCUUUAUACAGACAUCAGUUCCAUGGUGUUAAUUUGAAAUGCCUUAAUGGCAGGCAAAAACCAGUCAUUUCGUUUUUGUAAAUUACAGAUUUUAUCACAGAGUAACAAAUGUUGCUGUAAUUAAACUUCUGUUUUAUAUAUAUAUACGUAUACAUAUCUGUAUAUAUACAUAUAUAUAUAUAUAUAUAUAUUCUUUACUUUUUUUGUAUCAGUAACCAGGCUCGCACACACAGGGUCUGUUGCCAAGUUGCAAACCACUCAGUAAAGGAAAUAAAAAAACCCGUAUUCGUCACGUUGAAAAGUGUUAGCCACAGAAGGCUGCUUACUUUCUUUUCCUUUUCCUUUUCGCUUGUAAAUAAAUAAUGUUAUGUAUCAGUGUGCCUGAACCGUGCAUACCCUCCAGGUACUUCCCGGACGCCCCUCGGAAAGGCCAACUGUGAUGACGACACUUGAUACCAUUUAGAUGUCUAUUUGGUGGCCCCUGUUGAAGACGCAUCAGUGUAAAAUGUUCCUGUAGUCACUGUUUGUACUUGUGUAUUGUGGAAAAAAUACUUUCGGAA